AUCCAGCUGACGAGUGCCAAAUAGAACGAAACACGCGUCCUGGAU
rnacentral:hammerhead_ribozyme from 1 species